rnacentral:rRNA from 1 species
AGCUCUAAAAGCGUAUAUUAAAGUUGUUGCGGUUAAAAAGCUCGUAGUUCGAGGUCAGUUCUGGACUGGCGGGGCGGGCCGCCGCGAGGCGCCCGCUCCCUCGCCACGCUCCGAACGGCUCCCCGGUCUCACGGGGAGUCAGCAGUCGGCUCGGUCGGGGUGCUCUUCGCCGAGUGUCCCGCGCCGGCCGGCCGGUUUACCUUGAACAAAGUAGAGUGCUCAGAGCAGGCUGAAAUCUCUAAACUUACAUGCCCGAAUGUACCUGCAUGGAAUAAUGAAAGAUGAACUCGGUUCCAUUUUGUUGGUUCUGGGAACGUCCGAGUUAAUGACAAACAGGGACAGACGGGGGCAUUCGUACUACGACGCGAGAGGUGAAAUUCUGUGACCGUCGUAGGACGAACAACAGCGAAAGCAUUUGCCAAGAAUGUUCUCG